UUUUAGCCCUGAUAGCAGCGAAAAUCCUUUUGGCUUUUUUUGUUAGUUUUUGUUGGCAAAAAAAAGCGACCCUGGGAGCUCUUUUUUUGACUUACAAAAACAACAAAAAAGGGUAAAAGAUUGAAGCGGAUAGCAGGAUUAGCU
rnacentral:sRNA from 1 species